rnacentral:rRNA from 1 species
UACGUAGGGUCCGAGCGUUGUCCGGAAUUACUGGGCGUAAAGAGCUCGUAGGUGGUUUGUCGCGUUGUCCGUGAAAACUCACAGCUCAACUGUGGGCGUGCGGGCGAUACGGGCAGACUGGAGUACUGCAGGGGAGACUGGAAUUCCUGGUGUAGCGGUGGAAUGCGCAGAUAUCGGGAAGAACACCCGUGGCGAAGGCGGCUCUCUGGGACGGUACUGACGCUGAGACGCGAAAGCGUGGGGAGCGAACAGG